CCCUUAGAUGUCCGGGGCUGCACGCGCGCUACACUGAAGGAAUCAGCGUGCUAAAACCAUUGUAGAAAGGCAUUGGUAAACCCAUUAAAAUCCUACGUGAUUGGGAUCGGGAAUUGCAAUUAUUUCCCUUGAACGAGGAAUUCCCAGUAAGUGUGGGUCAUAAGCUCGCGUUGAUUACGUCCCUGCCCUUUGUACACACCGCCCGUCGCUGCCCGGGACUGAGCCGUUUCGAGAAAAGCGGGGACUGCUGCUGUCGGGGCUUUCGGGCCUUGGCUUCGGUGGAAACCGCUUUAAUCGCAGUGGCUUGAACCGGGCAAAAGUCGUAACA
rnacentral:rRNA from 1 species